rnacentral:rRNA from 1 species
GUUCUUCGUGAACAUGGCGGACUGCUCAGCAACACGUGGAUAACCUAACCUUGGGCCUGGGAUAAUCCUGGGAAACUAGGCAUAAUACCGGAUAGAUUGUGGAUACUGGAAUGUUCCACGGUCCAAAGCUCCGGCGCCCAAGGAUGGGUCUGCGGCCUAUCAGGGUGGUAGUGGGUGUAACGUACCUACUAGCCGACGACGGGUACGGGUUGUGAGAGCAAGAGCCCGGAGAUGGAUUCUGAGACACGAAUCCAGGCCCUACGGGGUGCAGCAGGCGCGAAAACUUUACAAUGCGGGAAACCGUGAUAAGGGGACCUCGAGUGCCAGCAUAUUAUGUUGGCUGUCCAAAUGCCUAAAUAGCAUUUGUUAGCAAGGGCCGGGCAAGACCGGUGCCAGCCGCCGCGGUAACACCGGCGGCCCGAGUGGUAACCGUUAUUAUUGGGUCUAAAGGGUCCGUAGCCGGCCAAGUAAGUCUCUUGGGAAAUCUGGCAGCUUAACUGUCAGGCUGCCAAGAGAUACUGCCUGGCUUGGGACCGGGAGAGGUGAGAGGUACCUCAGGGGUAGGGGUGAAAUCUUGUAAUCCUUGAGGGACCACCAGUGGCGAAGGCGUCUCACCAGAACGGGUCCGACGGCAAGGGACGAAAGCUAGGGGCACGAACCGGAUUAGAUACCCGGGUAGUCCUAGCCGUAAACGAUACUCGCUAGGUGUCAGCCACGGUGCGACCGUGGUUGGUGCCGUAGGGAAGCCGUGAAGCGAGCCACCUGGGAAGUACGGCCGCAAGGCUGAAACUUAA